UUUUUUUUUUUUUUAAGAGUUUUUCUCAGGACAGUACUUUGCUGCAGCACGCUCUGGUUUCCCUUCAGGUCAUACAAACCUUUCAUAUGAAUUGUAUACUAUCCAUUAAAAAAAAGUUCUGAAAUAAAAUUUCUGGCCAGCCUCAGUGUUUGUACCCAGAACUGCAGCUGGUCUGAGGCCUGGAAUCAGACUGAACGCAGGAUGCAGUCGUGCUGCAAAUGACCAUCCUCCAGCAUUUCUGAAGGCUGCUGGUUUGUCACCGAAUAUUUUUGUCUUGGUUGUUCCUGGUAAGUGGCAGCUUUGUGUGUUACCAAAGCAUCUCUCUUGCGCUGUAUAUAGCUAACACUGCAAGUGCUGUGUCUCUAAAGGUAAGAAAGCAGGCUGCCUCGGAGGAUGAAAACCUAAGGCCUGGGCAUCAGGCUGAGUCGUACUCAGUAGAGGAAUCUAACACGUGUAAAGAGCACAGCUUCUGUGAUUCCCAGGGUGUUGAUGUUCUAGCAAGUGUGAAAGCAGCCCCAGUGCUGCUCUGACUUCGCCUGGCUUAUGAUUGCUCCCAGCAGCACUCAUGUUGGUUAGAUCUCCCCAGGGCCCUUCUCCAAGCACUUUCUCCCUAUAGGGCACGUACCCUGGGCAUUAACAGUGACAAUGUGUGCCUGCUUCUUGGAACAGGUUUAUGGCUUCUUUGUGUUCCUGGAGCUGUGUACAGGUGUUGUUUUGAUAGCCAGGAUCCAGUCUAGAGGAACUCAGUAAGAGAGCCAUGAGGUCAGCUUCUUCCUCUCUUUAGUGAGGAAUUUAUAUUAAUGUUUGUGUUUUCAUCCAAUAUAUGACUAAGAGUGAAAGGGCACAUUUAGCUUAUGGUAUCUAGAAACACAAUCCUGUCUUUGUUGAGUUGUGAUGUCAUUGGUGGUGGAGGUCUUGCAUCACUGAUCUCAAACAAGGAUGUUUUUCUGCAGCUAAUCUUUGAAUAGAUAAGCAGAUCCUUUAACAGGCACCCUGAAGACAUUUCCAUAUAUUCUGAAACAAAUUGAAUAACU
rnacentral:lncRNA from 1 species